AUGUCUGUGUAUAUAUGUAUUUGUAUAUAAAUGUAUAUCUGUUUUGUUUUUGUUUUGUUUUUGUAUACCUGCUGUUCUGGUACACAGCAUUGAGAUGUUGUUACAGCAGCCUUGUUGAGCGGGGUUUUCUGGAUAUAC